rnacentral:rRNA from 1 species
UACGUAGGGUGCAAGCGUUAAUCGGAAUUACUGGGCGUAAAGCGUGCGCAGGCGGUUCGGAAAGUAAGAUGUGAAAUCCCCGGGCUUAACCUGGGAACUGCAUUGGUGACUGGCGGGCUAGAGUAUGGCAGAGGGGGGUAGAAUUCCACGUGUAGCAGUGAAAUGCGUAGAGAUGUGGAGGAAUACCGAUGGCGAAGGCAGCCCCCUGGGCCAAUACUGACGCUCAUGCACGAAAGCGUGGGGAGCAAACAGG